AGCUCUCCAGCUGACCAACCUUCAGCCUUGGAGAUGAGCAAAGCAGAAGGGAGCCUGAGGUCAUGGCUGGACUGACCACAAGGCGGCUGCUCCCAGCCCAGGCCCACAAAGACAGUCACACCUGGCAUGGAAAUGAGAACAUGGAUACAGACACCAGGGUGAAAAGAUAAGAAACAUAGGCCCUGGACUUGGGCAGCAUUAGGCCCUCCAGCCUCUCUGAGAUAGAAUGUCCAUCCACAUCACAGGGCGUUUCUCUGAGUCACAAGAGAGAUGAGGAAUGCUGGGGUAAGGAUGCCUUCCCCACUGCUACUACCUUCUGAAAAAAUGACUCAAGUCUCAGGAUUCUGCGGAAUGAGGAGAGCCGCUGUUAAAUUUCUCAGGAUGUCACUUUGGUCAUCUCUGUUCCACCAGGAACAGUCACAAUUGCUGACCAUUCUGCCCCCCGCCAAGGAGCUAUAUCCAUCUAAGGAAGAAGCAUAUGAAGUCAGAACUGGGCAAGGCCUCACGGGCGAGGGUCUGGGGAGCCAGCGGAAUCCAAGCCUGCUGGGCUGCAAACCACAAUCUCUUCCUCUGCCUUUGGGGGGAAAUAUUGCAAGAAGAAGGGGCAGAAAUAAGGGCUGCUCAAGAGGUUAACUUUGCUUCCUUGGGGAACAUGGAAGAGUUGCUGCAGAGCCACGACCAGGCUCCCCUGUGAACGCUGCACAUUCCGAGAGCACAGGUCCCUUUCUUUUGCUUUGUUACCUUGAGGUUUUAGGGAUUUCAGUAUAGCAAUUGAGAUACAAACCAGUAAACUUUAUUUAGAAAACUGUA